UGUAUUUCGCUUUCUGUACUAGAUCCCACUCUUCUUUUUCCCCCCACUGACAGGUUGCAGAAUAACAGCUAAUAUUAAUGGAUCAUUCUAUUCAAGAGAAUGUCAACUGGAACGUGGAUGUUUUCAUAACAGGCUUAAAGAUGAACAAAUUGAUAAAGAAACCCUCCUGCUGGACAUCCACUUCCAAAAGUGCACACCACACUGUUGUCUACAACUCCUAGGAAAAGAAUCCUCUUAAGUAAGACUGCUCCGUGGAUAUGUCAGGUUAAGCAGUGCUGAAACCGAAAGAACUAACACUAUUUAAAAUGUUUUGUGAGUUUAUAUGAAGAGGAAAGUUACGGUGUCCCUUUUUCACAUCCAUAACGCUUGUUUAUUUCUUUUUUUAUAGAAAACUUGUGCAUAGACUUAUAUUUUAACAUAUAAAUGCGGUUCUAUUAACAAGGGUUUAGUAAAAUACUUUUUAUAGCGUUUUGAAGUGUUAAGUUGUCUAACUAUUUAUAUUUACUUGUGCCACUUUAAUAACCUUGUUAAAUGUAUAUGUUAAAAUCUAAACUAAUGUAAUUUAUUGAAAUUAAUGUUCUUUAAAUAUGUAUAAACAUACAUUUCAUCAAAGUGUUUUAUAUGCCAUUUUAUUGUUCAUUGAGCAUAACAUAUUGCAUGUUUUUAUGAAUUCCUUUUGUCUUGCAUUUUGAUCCUUAAUAAAACUAUUGAUUCUUA